GGGUUGUGAGGUUAAGCGACUAAGCGUACACGGUGGAUGCCCUGGCAGUCAGAGGCGAUGAAGGACGUGCUAAUCUGCGAUAAGCGUCGGUAAGGUGAUAUGAACCGUUAUAACCGGCGAUUUCCGAAUGGGGAAACCCAGUGUGUUUCGACACACUAUCAUUAACUGAAUCCAUAGGUUAAUGAGGCGAACCGGGGGAACUGAAACAUCUAAGUACCCCGAGGAAAAGAAAUCAACCGAGAUUCCCCCAGUAGCGGCGAGCGAACGGGGAGCAGCCCAGAGCCUGAAUCAGUGUGUGUGUUAGUGGAAGCGUCUGGAAAGGCGUGCGAUACAGGGUGACAGCCCCGUACACAAAAAUGCACAUGCUGUGAGCUCGAUGAGUAGGGCGGGACACGUGGUAUCCUGUCUGAAUAUGGGGGGACCAUCCUCCAAGGCUAAAUACUCCUGACUGACCGAUAGUGAACCAGUACCGUGAGGGAAAGGCGAAAAGAACCCCGGCGAGGGGAGUGAAAAAGAACCUGAAACCGUGUACGUACAAGCAGUGGGAGCCUCUUUUAUGGGGUGACUGCGUACCUUUUGUAUAAUGGGUCAGCGACUUAUAUUCUGUAGCAAGGUUAACCGAAUAGGGGAGCCGAAGGGAAACCGAGUCUUAACUGGGCGUUAAGUUGCAGGGUAUAGACCCGAAACCCGGUGAUCUAGCCAUGGGCAGGUUGAAGGUUGGGUAACACUAACUGGAGGACCGAACCGACUAAUGUUGAAAAAUUAGCGGAUGACUUGUGGCUGGGGGUGAAAGGCCAAUCAAACCGGGAGAUAGCUGGUUCUCCCCGAAAGCUAUUUAGGUAGCGCCUCGUGAAUUCAUCUCCGGGGGUAGAGCACUGUUUCGGCAAGGGGGUCAUCCCGACUUACCAACCCGAUGCAAACUGCGAAUACCGGAGAAUGUUAUCACGGGAGACACACGGCGGGUGCUAACGUCCGUCGUGAAGAGGGAAACAACCCAGACCGCCAGCUAAGGUCCCAAAGUCAUGGUUAAGUGGGAAACGAUGUGGGAAGGCCCAGACAGCCAGGAUGUUGGCUUAGAAGCAGCCAUCAUUUAAAGAAAGCGUAAUAGCUCACUGGUCGAGUCGGCCUGCGCGGAAGAUGUAACGGGGCUAAACCAUGCACCGAAGCUGCGGCAGCGACGCUUAUGCGUUGUUGGGUAGGGGAGCGUUCUGUAAGCCUGUGAAGGUGUGCUGUGAGGCAUGCUGGAGGUAUCAGAAGUGCGAAUGCUGACAUAAGUAACGAUAAAGCGGGUGAAAAGCCCGCUCGCCGGAAGACCAAGGGUUCCUGUCCAACGUUAAUCGGGGCAGGGUGAGUCGACCCCUAAGGCGAGGCCGAAAGGCGUAGUCGAUGGGAAACAGGUUAAUAUUCCUGUACUUGGUGUUACUGCGAAGGGGGGACGGAGAAGGCUAUGUUGGCCGGGCGACGGUUGUCCCGGUUUAAGCGUGUAGGCUGGUUUUCCAGGCAAAUCCGGAAAAUCAAGGCUGAGGCGUGAUGACGAGGCACUACGGUGCUGAAGCAACAAAUGCCCUGCUUCCAGGAAAAGCCUCUAAGCAUCAGGUAACAUCAAAUCGUACCCCAAACCGACACAGGUGGUCAGGUAGAGAAUACCAAGGCGCUUGAGAGAACUCGGGUGAAGGAACUAGGCAAAAUGGUGCCGUAACUUCGGGAGAAGGCACGCUGAUAUGUAGGUGAAGCGACUUGCUCGUGGAGCUGAAAUCAGUCGAAGAUACCAGCUGGCUGCAACUGUUUAUUAAAAACACAGCACUGUGCAAACACGAAAGUGGACGUAUACGGUGUGACGCCUGCCCGGUGCCGGAAGGUUAAUUGAUGGGGUUAGCGCAAGCGAAGCUCUUGAUCGAAGCCCCGGUAAACGGCGGCCGUAACUAUAACGGUCCUAAGGUAGCGAAAUUCCUUGUCGGGUAAGUUCCGACCUGCACGAAUGGCGUAAUGAUGGCCAGGCUGUCUCCACCCGAGACUCAGUGAAAUUGAACUCGCUGUGAAGAUGCAGUGUACCCGCGGCAAGACGGAAAGACCCCGUGAACCUUUACUAUAGCUUGACACUGAACAUUGAGCCUUGAUGUGUAGGAUAGGUGGGAGGCUUUGAAGUGUGGACGCCAGUCUGCAUGGAGCCGACCUUGAAAUACCACCCUUUAAUGUUUGAUGUUCUAACGUGGACCCGUAAUCCGGGUUGCGGACAGUGUCUGGUGGGUAGUUUGACUGGGGCGGUCUCCUCCUAAAGAGUAACGGAGGAGCACGAAGGUUGGCUAAUCCUGGUCGGACAUCAGGAGGUUAGUGCAAUGGCAUAAGCCAGCUUGACUGCGAGCGUGACGGCGCGAGCAGGUGCGAAAGCAGGUCAUAGUGAUCCGGUGGUUCUGAAUGGAAGGGCCAUCGCUCAACGGAUAAAAGGUACUCCGGGGAUAACAGGCUGAUACCGCCCAAGAGUUCAUAUCGACGGCGGUGUUUGGCACCUCGAUGUCGGCUCAUCACAUCCUGGGGCUGAAGUAGGUCCCAAGGGUAUGGCUGUUCGCCAUUUAAAGUGGUACGCGAGCUGGGUUUAGAACGUCGUGAGACAGUUCGGUCCCUAUCUGCCGUGGGCGCUGGAGAACUGAGGGGGGCUGCUCCUAGUACGAGAGGACCGGAGUGGACGCAUCACUGGUGUUCGGGUUGUCAUGCCAAUGGCACUGCCCGGUAGCUAAAUGCGGAAGAGAUAAGUGCUGAAAGCAUCUAAGCACGAAACUUGCCCCGAGAUGAGUUCUCCCUGAGACUUUAAGUCUCCUGAAGGAACGUUGAAGACGACGACGUUGAUAGGCCGGGUGUGUAAGCGCAGCGAUGCGUUGAGCUAACCGGUACUAAUGAACCGUGAGGCUUAACCUUACAACGCCGAAG
rnacentral:rRNA from 1 species